UCCAUUUGAUAGAUAUUUUUUGAUGGGCCACCCAAAGAUGAUGAGGAAAGAGCUCCUAUCUUUAAGGAGCUUCCAGUCUAGUGGGGGAUUAAGACACACAAGUACUUGUACAAAUUAUAACAAGAUCUUAGAGAUGGUAGAGAAAGAAAUAAUCAGUCUACCAGGUGGAGCUAGGAAAUGUUUCCCAGAAGAGGUCAGGCUAGGUCAUGAAUGGGUAUUGGAACUGUACCAGAAGGGAGAAAGGAGGCUUUCGAGGAACGGUGACAGCACGGUGCAAAGGCUGGGAUGUACGGAGGACCUUGGCUGGCCCUGGGAGUGGGGAGUAGUUCUCCGUGGCUGGAGCACAGUGUGUGUGGCCUUUAUGGUAGGAAGGACAGGCUUGGGCUCAGGGGUCCAGGGGCUUGGAGGACAGGCCGAGGAACUGGAUUCCAUCCUAACUGCCUCAGUAACGUGUCGUGUCUUCCCCUCUUCUCCAUGCCUGCUGUCACCUGCACAGUCCAGCUCCUGCCUGGAUACUACCGAAGCCUGCUAAUGGCUCUCUCUCAUCCAUUCUUGCUGCCUCCAAUCUGUUCUGAGGGAUCACGGCUGUUCUUAAAUCUCUUCAUUUGAGUUCCAGAAGAGGUAGAACUAAUCCAGACUAAAAGAGAAAGCGGAGCAGUGGUUGCCAGAGGAGGGGGGUAACUGCAAAGGAGCAUGGGGCAACUUUCUGAGUGAAAGAAACAUGCUGUGUCUUGAUGGUGGUGCUGGCUGCUCAUUGAACUGUACACUUUGAACAUGGGGGCAUUUUACUGUUUUUAAAUUAUACCUCAAUAAAGUUGAUUUCUAAAAAAAAAGACAACCUUUAUUUGCCCUGGGAGGAAGACCAGUACCCUGCCCCGUGGUACACCAGACCCCAACGCCUGCCGCUUUCCCCGGCCCGGCCUCACCUGCUUCUCCUGAUUGCAGGACUCACCGUGCCCUUCUCCUCACUGAGAACCGUGCCCGUCCUUUCUGACCAGGAUGCUCAGCCUGUCUCUGCUGCCCACUCAGCCACGCGGCCCAGCUGACUCCCGCUCGUCCUUCACGUUGUGGCUGAAAUUUCAGAUCCUGCAGGGUGCGGUUUCUGGACCCGCAGGCUCUGGUGCCCCUGCCCGCACUUCUGUGAAGCACUGAACACUUCUAUCACUCACCCUUGGGAAAGCCGACUGCCGUGUCCUGAGGCAACCUUGCUGAGAGGUCCAUGUGGCAAAGGACUGAGGCCUGCCAAAAACCACAUGAAUGAACUUAAAAGAAGAUUCCCACCUCACUCCAGGUCAGGCAUUCAGAUGAGAUCACAGCCUCAGCCAAUAGCUUGAUGCAGCCUCAUGAGAGACUUUGAGCCAGAGUUGCCUAGGAGCUGGUGAGCCUGGAAGCUUAUUUAGGAAGAGGAAAUGAAACUGAAAAGACACAGUAAGAUUCCUCUUUUUCUUGGAAGCAAGACACGAUAUGAAUAAUUCUCAUGCUGUCCAAUUAACUGCCUCAAGUACAAAUAGAAAAAAAAAUACACACUUGGUUAUUUGGAAGAAAUUGAAGAAAAAGCGAAGAACGGGAUGGUAGUUUCAACAAUAAAGCCCUAUACAAAUAACUUCCUUUCGGAUUUAAGACUUGUCUCCCGCAGA